rnacentral:rRNA from 1 species
UUUACGAAAAAAUACUUCAGAGUGUACCUGAAAGGGUUCACUGCGAAGUUUUGCUCUUUAAAAAUCUGGAUCAAGCUGAAAAUUGAAACACAGAACAACGAAAGUUGUUCGUGAGUCUCUCAAAUUUUCGCNCCGAAUGGGGAAACCCAGUGUGAUUCGUCACACUAUCAUUAACUGAAUCCAUAGGUUAAUGAGGCGAACCGGGGGAACUGAAACAUCUAAGUACCCCGAGGAAAAGAAAUCAACCGAGAUUCCCCCAGUAGCGGCGAGCGAACGGGGAGGAGCCCAGAGCCUGAAUCAGCAUGUGUGUUAGUGGAAGCGUCUGGAAAGGUGCGCGAUACAGGGUGACAGCCCCGUACACAAAAGCGCAUGUGCUGUGAGCUCGAUGAGUAGGGCGGGACACGUGGUAUCCUGUCUGAAUAUGGGGGGACCAUCCUCCAAGGCUAAAUACUCCUGACUGACCGAUAGUGAACCAGUACCGUGAGGGAAAGGCGAAAAGAACCCCGGCGAGGGGAGUGAAAAAGAACCUGAAACCGUGUACGUACAAGCAGUGGGAGCACAGGUUUACCUGUGUGACUGCGUACCUUUUGUAUAAUGGGUCAGCGACUUAUAUUCUGUAGCAAGGUUAACCGUAUAGGGGAGCCGUAGGGAAACCGAGUCUUAACCGGGCGUUAAGUUGCAGGGUAUAGACCCGAAACCCGGUGAUCUAGCCAUGGGCAGGUUGAAGGUUGGGUAACACUAACUGGAGGACCGAACCGACUAAUGUUGAAAAAUUAGCGGAUGACCUGUGGCUGGGGGUGAAAGGCCAAUCAAACCGGGAGAUAGCUGGUUCUCCCCGAAAGCUAUUUAGGUAGCGCCUCGUGAAUUCAUCUCCGGGGGUAGAGCACUGUUUCGGCUAGGGGGCCAUCCCGGCUUACCAACCCGAUGCAAACUGCGAAUACCGGAGAAUGUUAUCACGGGAGACACACGGCGGGUGCUAACGUCCGUCGUGAAGAGGGAAACAACCCAGACCGCCAGCUAAGGUCCCAAAGUCAUGGUUAAGUGGGAAACGAUGUGGGAAGGCCCAGACAGCCAGGAUGUUGGCUUAGAAGCAGCCAUCAUUUAAAGAAAGCGUAAUAGCUCACUGGUCGAGUCGGCCUGCGCGGAAGAUGUAACGGGGCUAAACCAUGCACCGAAGCUGCGGCAGCGAACGUAUCACCCAAGACAACUUUACGGAGUUGACGAUUGACGGAGCGAAGCGACGUCAAAGCGUUCAUUAAAGUCGAGUUGGCUUAGGGAUACGUUCGUUGGGUAGGGGAGCGUUCUGUAAGCCUGUGAAGGUGUGUCGUGAGGCAUGCUGGAGGUAUCAGAAGUGCGAAUGCUGACAUAAGUAACGAUAAAGCGGGUGAAAAGCCCGCUCGCCGGAAGACCAAGGGUUCCUGUCCAACGUUAAUCGGGGCAGGGUGAGUCGACCCCUAAGGCGAGGCCGAAAGGCGUAGUCGAUGGGAAACGGGUUAAUAUUCCCGUACUUGGUGUUACUGCGAAGGGGGGACGGAGAAGGCUAUGUUGGCCGGGCGACGGUUGUCCCGGUUUAAGCGUGUAGGUGUGUGUUCCAGGUAAAUCCGGUUCACUUUAACACUGAGGCGUGACGACGAGGCACUACGGUGCUGAAGCAACAAAUGCCCUGCUUCCAGGAAAAGCCUCUAAGCAUCAGGUAACACGAAAUCGUACCCCAAACCGACACAGGUGGUCAGGUAGAGAAUACCAAGGCGCUUGAGAGAACUCGGGUGAAGGAACUAGGCAAAAUGGUGCCGUAACUUCGGGAGAAGGCACGCUGACACGUAGGUGAAGUGAUUUACUCAUGGAGCUGAAGUCAGUCGAAGAUACCAGCUGGCUGCAACUGUUUAUUAAAAACACAGCACUGUGCAAACACGAAAGUGGACGUAUACGGUGUGACGCCUGCCCGGUGCCGGAAGGUUAAUUGAUGGGGUCAGCGUAAGCGAAGCUCCUGAUCGAAGCCCCGGUAAACGGCGGCCGUAACUAUAACGGUCCUAAGGUAGCGAAAUUCCUUGUCGGGUAAGUUCCGACCUGCACGAAUGGCGUAAUGAUGGCCAGGCUGUCUCCACCCGAGACUCAGUGAAAUUGAACUCGCUGUGAAGAUGCAGUGUACCCGCGGCAAGACGGAAAGACCCCGUGAACCUUUACUAUAGCUUGACACUGAACAUUGAGCCUUGAUGUGUAGGAUAGGUGGGAGGCUUUGAAGUGUGGACGCCAGUCUGCAUGGAGCCGACCUUGAAAUACCACCCUUUAAUGUUUGAUGUUCUAACGUGGACCCGUAAUCCGGGUUGCGGACAGUGUCUGGUGGGUAGUUUGACUGGGGCGGUCUCCUCCUAAAGAGUAACGGAGGAGCACGAAGGUUGGCUAAUCCUGGUCGGACAUCAGGAGGUUAGUGCAAUGGCAUAAGCCAGCUUGACUGCGAGCGUGACGGCGCGAGCAGGUGCGAAAGCAGGUCAUAGUGAUCCGGUGGUUCUGAAUGGAAGGGCCAUCGCUCAACGGAUAAAAGGUACUCCGGGGAUAACAGGCUGAUACCGCCCAAGAGUUCAUAUCGACGGCGGUGUUUGGCACCUCGAUGUCGGCUCAUCACAUCCUGGGGCUGAAGUAGGUCCCAAGGGUAUGGCUGUUCGCCAUUUAAAGUGGUACGCGAGCUGGGUUUAGAACGUCGUGAGACAGUUCGGUCCCUAUCUGCCGUGGGCGCUGGAGAACUGAGGGGGGCUGCUCCUAGUACGAGAGGACCGGAGUGGACGCAUCACUGGUGUUCGGGUUGUCAUGCCAAUGGCACUGCCCGGUAGCUAAAUGCGGAAGAGAUAAGUGCUGAAAGCAUCUAAGCACGAAACUUGCCCCGAGAUGAGUUCUCCCUGAGACUUAGAGUCUCCUGAAGGAACGUUGAAGACGACGACGUUGAUAGGCCGGGUGUGUAAGCGCAGCGAUGCGUUGAGCUAACCGGUACUAAUGAACCGUGAGGCUUAACCUU